rnacentral:sRNA from 1 species
GUCAGGUAUGGUGGUGCAUGCCUGUAAUCCCAACAGCUUGGGAGGCAAAGGCAGGAGGAUUGUGAGUUCAAAGCCAGCCUCAGUAAUUUUGCAAGGCACUUAGCAACUCAGUGAGACCCUGUCUCUA